GCAGACACAUUCCAGCCAAUCAGCAGCAGACCCUCCCUCCCAGACCCUCCCACCUCCUGGACAGCUCACUACAAUUAAUGUAAACAUGGAUGCUGUCCAGGAGGUGGGAGGGUCUGGGAGGGAGGGUCUGCUGCUGAUUGGCUGGAAUGUGUCUG